rnacentral:tRNA from 1 species
UCUCGCGCGUUCUUGAUGGCGGCGGCGAGGGCCCGCUGCUGCUGGGCCGUGACGCGGGUCACGCGGCGGCUGCGGAUCUUCCCGCGGUCGGAGAU